AUUGAACGCUGGCGGCGGGCCUAACACAUGCAAGUCGAACGAGUGGCGGACGGGUGAGUAAUGUAUGGGAAACUGCGUGAUGGAGGGGGCAAACUAGGGGAAACGGUGGCUAAUAGCGCAUAACGUGGGAUGUGCCGAGAUGGGAUUAGCUAGUCGGUGGGGUAAAGGCUCACCGAGGCGACGAUGCCUAGCUGGUCUGAGAGGAUGACCGGCCACACUGGAACGGAGACACGGUCCAGACUCCUACGGGAGGCAGCAGUGGGGAAUAUUGCACAAUGGGCGCAAGCCUGAUGCAGCCAUGCCGCGUGUAUGAAGAAGGCCUUCGGGUUGUAAAGUACUUUCAGCGGGGAGGCGUUACCCGCAGAAGAAGCACCGGCUAACUCCGUGCCAGCAGCCGCGGUAAUUC
rnacentral:rRNA from 1 species